rnacentral:tRNA from 1 species
AUUUAUCUAAUAUAUUUGUAUGUUUGACUUCCAAUCAAAAAGACUGAAUAAAAUUCAGGAUAAAUA